AUGGCCACCGUGAACAACUGGUUGGGCUUCUCCCUCUCCCCGCAGGAGCUCCCUCCCUCCGCCGCCGCCUCAGGUGACGUCUCCGGCGCCGACGUCUGCUACAACAUCCCACAAGAUUGGAACAUGAGGGGAUCAGAGCUAUCUGCCCUGGUGGCGGAGCCUAAGCUGGAGGACUUCCUCGGCGGCAUAUCCUACUCCGACCACCACCACCACCACAAGCAGGCCGGCGGCAACAACAUGGUCGUCCCUGCAGGUAGCGGCAGCGGCGGCGCCGCAUGCUACACGACCUCGGGCGGCAGUAGCGUGGGCUACCUGUACCACCCCAGCUCGGCCUCCCUCCAGUUUGCCGACUCCGUCAUGGUGGCUUCCUCCGGCGGUGGCGUCCACCACGACGGCGCUGGCAUCAUGGCGAACACCACAGCCAACGGUGACCUUAAUAAUGGCAGCGGCGGGGGUGGCAUCGGGCUGUCCAUGAUCAAGAGCUGGCUGCGGAGCCAGCCAUCCCCGGCACAACCACCGGAGCAGCAGAGGGCGGAUGCGGCGGCACAGGGUCUCUCGCUGUCCAUGAACAUGGCGGCGUGCAUGCCGCCGCUCGUUGGCGGGGAGCGUGGUGUGCCGGAGUUGGCGAUUGUCCGGAAGGAUGACACGGCCGGUGGCAGCAGCGCUGGUUCUGGCGCCGUGGUGUCGGCCGGUGGUGCGGAUAGCACUGGCGGAAGCAGUGGCGUGGUGGUGGAGACGCCGGCGUCCAGGAAGACGGCUGACACGUUUGGGCAGCGGACCUCGAUUUACCGUGGUGUGACCAGGCAUAGAUGGACUGGGAGAUAUGAGGCUCACUUAUGGGACAACAGUUGCAGAAGAGAAGGGCAAACACGCAAGGGUCGUCAAGUCUAUCUAGGUGGCUAUGACAAAGAGGAGAAAGCUGCAAGAGCUUAUGAUUUGGCUGCUCUCAAAUAUUGGGGUGCGACGACGACGACAAAUUUCCCAGUAAACAACUACGAAAAAGAGCUAGAGGAGAUGAAGCACAUGACAAGGCAGGAGUUUGUGGCGUCUUUGCGAAGGAAGAGCAGUGGUUUCUCCAGAGGCGCAUCCAUUUAUCGUGGAGUAACUAGGCACCACCAACAUGGGAGAUGGCAAGCGAGGAUAGGGAGAGUUGCAGGGAACAAGGAUCUCUACUUAGGCACCUUCAGCACGCAGGAGGAGGCUGCGGAGGCGUACGACAUCGCGGCGAUCAAGUUCCGGGGGCUCAAUGCUGUCACAAACUUCGACAUGACGCGCUACGAUGUCAAGAGCAUCCUCGACAGCACCGCGCUCCCCAUCGGUAGCGCUGCCAAGCGCCUCAAGGACGCCGAGGCGGCUACGGCGUCGUCCCUCGCGCUGCAGCAGCAGCAGCACGCAGGCGUGGUGAGCGGCUAUGACAUGGGCGCCCUGGCCGCCUACGGUGCCGCAUACCACCACCAUCACCCCUCUGUCGCCGGCGCUGUUGCGUGGCCGACCAUCGCGUUCCAGGCGCCGCCUCAUCAGGUUUCCAGCGGCGGUGGUGGACACAUGUACCACCCCUACGCCCAUGCGCAGCCGCUGCGCGGGUGGUGUAAGCAGGAGCCGGACCACGCGGUGAUCGCGGCUGCGCACAGCCUGCAGGAGCUCCACCACCUCAACCUCGGCGCCGGUGGCGGCGCACAUGACUUCUUCUCGCAGCAUGCCCAGGCGAUGCAGCAGCAGCACGGUGGCCUCGGCAGCAUCCACAACGCGGCCGGCGCCUCGCUCGAGCACAGCACCGGCUCCAACUCCGUCGUGUACAACAACGGCGGCGUCGAGAGCUACAUGCUUCCCAUGAGCACCACCACCACCGCGACGGCGAGCCACGCCCGCGAGCAGGUGGCAGCGCAUGCCCACGCACGCGCGGUGGCGGCACAGGCAUACAGCGGCGGCAACAUGAGCAGGGAUCACGACGACGGGAAGAUCGCCUACGAGAACUACCUCGUGAGCACCGCAGAAGCCUACGGCGGGGGGAGGAUGGCUGCCUGGGCACAGGCCUCAGCUCCACCGGCGACAAGCAGCAGCGACAUGACCGGCGCGCAGCUCUUCAGCGUCUGGAACGACUCUAAUUAG
rnacentral:rRNA from 1 species